UCAGGAUGAACGCUAGCUACAGGCUUAACACAUGCAAGUCGAGGGGCAGCAUGAUCUUAGCUUGCUAAGAUUGAUGGCGACCGGCGCACGGGUGAGUAACGCGUAUCCAACCUUCCCUGUACUAGGGGAUAGCCCGGCGAAAGUCGGAUUAAUACCCGUAUGUUUUUCCGAAGCGGGCAUUCAAUUUGGAACAAAGGUUUACCGGUAUAGGAUGGGGAUGCGUCUGAUUAGGUAGUAGGCGGGGUAACGGCCCACCUAGCCGACGAUCAGUAGGGGUUCUGAGAGGAAGGUCCCCCACAUUGGAACUGAGACACGGUCCAAACUCCUACGGGAGGCAGCAGUGAGGAAUAUUGGUCAAUGGACGAGAGUCUGAACCAGCCAAGUAGCCGUGCAGGAUGACGGCCCUAUGGGUUGUAAACUGCUUUUAUAUAGGGAUAAAGUGAGGGACGUGUCCCUUAUUGUAGGUACUAUAUGAAUAAGGACCGGCUAAUUCCGUGCCAGCCGCGGC
rnacentral:rRNA from 1 species